GUCAGAACGGCUGACAGAAGAGAGUGAGCACACAGCGGCAGCCUGCAUCUGGAGCUAAAGACGAUGAUGUGUCGAUGCAUGUGAAGAAGGGGAAAAGAGAUAGGCGCAGCUGCUGUUGCGUGCUCACCCUCUCUCUGUCAGCUCUCCUCUCCCC